GGCUGACAUCCUGAAGAACCUGGAAAAAACAAUGCUGGAAUCAAUCGAGCUGUUACUCAAGACUGAUGGUGUCUCAAUCCCAGACGUUACAGUGGAACUUGAGGAUGUGAGGAACCACUACAAUAAACUGAUGGGAAGCCCAGAUGAAGAACCACUAAUCUGUGCUGCACAGCUGAUUACCAACUGAAGAGUCCCGAGGGCUCGCUGAUUAGAGCCGGGAGGCCUCUGGAUUGAUCUCAACCAUUUUUGUCAGGCCAUUUAAUCCAUGUUCUUUUUGAGAUUUGUUUUGAUAUGUUGUUUGAAUUAGCUUGUAGUGAAUUAAAUGCAUAGAGAUUUAAGAUUUUUCUAUAUUUGGUAGCGCAUUUUUAGUUUUAAUUGAUAAAAGAUGCAGACAGAAAAUGUGUGGGGGGUGAGAGCGGGCUGUCAUGCAGCAAAGGUCCCCAGUGGAUUCAAACCAGGGACGCUAGGGUUUUCACGGUACUGGUCUUAGUCACCAGUCCACUAUGAUAUCUCAGACACAUUUUGUUUUUAAUGAUUUAAUGAACUCUUUUUUUCUUCUUCUUUAAUAUAUUUUUAAGUUUUUUGUUAUUCUUAGUUUAGUAUUGGUUGAUGGGAAUUGAAAUUCCAAUGAUUUUAUGGGUGUUAAACAAAGAUCCUGAACCUUGAUCACAGUACAUACUGUAGGUUUGAUUUGACAAAUACUUUAGGCUUUUCAAAGAAUGAAAAACCUUUCUUCUUUAAUGUUCAAGGACAAAAUUAGCUUGCUGUGUUUUUUGCUGGUGUUUUUUAAAUGUGUUCAUUAAAAUAUUUGAUAGAACUAGAUUCAUUCAUUCAUUCAUCUUCCAUAACCGCUUAUCCAGUUAAGGGUCGCGGGGGUGUUGGAGCCGAUCUCAGCUGUCAUUGGGCUAAGGCAGGGUACACCCUGGACAGGUCGCCAGUCUAUCACAGGGCCGACAUAUAUAGACAAAUAACCAUUCACGUUCACAUCCACACCUAUGGGCAAUUUAGAGUCAUCAUUAACCUAAGGUGCAUGUCUUUGGACUGUGGGAGAAAGCCGGAGAACCCGGAGAGAACCCACGCUGACACGGGGAGAAAUAGAACUAGAUGAUAUUAAUAAACCAGCCCAUCUGGUUUCUCAUUAUUUACUGAACAAUUAUUUUGUUUUAAUCUUCACAUGUUUUGUCAUGGUAUAUUGUCCAAUAAAGAUCACGUU